AUUGAACGCUGGCGGCAGGCCUAACACAUGCAAGUCGAACGCGUGGCGGACGGGUGAGUAAUGUCUGGGAAACUGCCUGAUGGAGGGGGAUAACUACUGGAAACGGUAGCUAAUACCGCAUACCAUCGGAUGUGCCCAGAUGGGAGUAGCUAGUGGGUGGGGUAACGGCUCACCUAGGCGACGAUCCCUAGCUGGGCUGAGAGGAUGACCAGCAACACGGGAACUGAGAAACGGUCCAGAGCCCUACGGUAGGCAGCAGUGGGGAAUAUUGCACAAUGGGAGCAAGCCUGAUACAGCCAUGCCGCGUGUAUGAAGAAGGCCUUCGGGUUGUAAAGGACUUUCAGCGGGGAGGCGUUACCCGCAGAAGAAGCACCGGCUAAAUCCGUGCCAGCGGCCGCGGUAAUUC
rnacentral:rRNA from 1 species